rnacentral:sRNA from 1 species
AGUGGGUUCUUUGUGAAAGAACAGCAAUGAGCAAAGCCACAGGAACCUCCGCUGGGGUGCCCAGAACACUGGCCCUGGGCUAGCGACUUGCCUCAGCCCCAUUUCCCGGAGAGGCUGCCAUGGAGAGGAAGCCGGCGGAGUCUUGGUGCUGAGUCUGAGGGCUUCAGGCAGGACCCAAGACUCUCCUCUGAGGUAGCAGCCCCCAGAGAAGGUUAGCUGUUCUCUGAUGAAGCCUGGAAUGGUCCCCCCUCCGCCGGGAGAAGAAAGCCAGACGGUCAUCCUUCCACCUGGCUGGCAGAGCUACCUGUCGCCUCAGGGCCGGCGGUACUAUGUCAACACGACCACCAAUGAGACCACCUGGGAACGUCCCAGCAGUUCUCCUGGGAUUCCAGCCAGCCCUGGCUCUCACAGGAGCUCUCUGCCUCCAACAGAACCUGGGAUCCUCAUCGCCAAGCAAAAAGCAGAGCAAGGAAAACACCAUCACAAUAAACUGUGUGACGUUCCCUCACCCAGACACGAUGCCGGAACAGCAGCUGCUGAAACCAACCGAGUGGAGCUACUGCGACUACUUCUGGGCUGAUAAGAAGGACCCCCAAGGCAACG